CUCACGCCCUGACCAAUUAAACACAUACCAAACAGAAAACAGGUCAGGAACGUGACAGUAUUGUAUUUCGUUACCCCGUGGUUAAUUUGUAACAUGAGUUAAGCAUCGGUGUAUUGUAUUUCGUUAGCCCGUGGUUAAUUUGUAACAUGAGUUAAGCAUCGGUGUAUUGUAUUUCGUUAGCCCGUGGUUAAUUUGUAACAUGAGUUAAGCAUCGGUGUAUUGUAUUUCGUUAGCCCGUGGUUAAUUUGUAACAUGAGUUAAGCAUCGGUGUAUUGUAUUUCGUUAGCCCAUGGUUAAUUUGUAACAUGAGUUAAGCAUCAGUGUAUUGUAUUUCGCGGCAGGUUGACACAUGAUAUGUUUAUCGUCAGGUGUUAAACACAUAAGGAAGGGGAGUAUACAGAACAUUGGUAUAGGUACUGUAUAGGCCUAUUUGGCUGUUCCUGUGAAUGAAGACAAGACUAAAGAAGAGAGGAAAGGGGUAUACUCUCUACAAUUAUUCAGCCAUUCCUCCUUUUUUUCAAUCAUCAUGUCUUCCUGUAUUUUUGUUUUGUUGUUCCAAGAGCUCAGGUGGUUGGUGCAGGGUGCUUGUGGGUUUGAUUCCAACACGGGCUACAUACACUGCAUAAGCAGGUGGUAAAAGUGAGUGGAUGUGGAUUACAGCUGAUUGAGCGUUGUUUUGAUUUGUCUCUCCAGUGGUGAACGAGGAUGGCCAGCCGCUCAUAGAGGGGAAACUGAAAGAGAAGCAGGUUCGCUGGAAGUUCAUCAAACGCUGGAAGACUCGCUACUUCACCCUGGCAGGAAACCAGCUCCUCUUCCGGAAGGGAAAAUCUAAAGAUGAGCUAGACGACAGCACCAUCGAGCUGAGCAAAGUGCAGAGCGUCAAGGUGGUGGCUAAGAAGCGCCGUGAGCGGGGUCUCCCUCGGGCCUUUGAGAUCUUCACGGACAGUAAGACUUACGUCCUGAAGGCUCGUGAUGAGAAGCAUGCUGAGGAGUGGCUCCAGUGUAUUAAUGUUGCCGUGGCCCAGGCCAGAGAGAAAGAGAACAGAGAGGCCACCACCUACCUGUGACCUUAUGACCUGGAAGAUAUUCUACUGUGAACCGUUCCUGAGCCAGAAACACAACAUACAGCCCCGUGCUACUGUACCAUCUACUAACAACAGCUGUGACGUCCACUGUUUCUGAUCAUCUGACAGGCCUGUGACGUCCACUGUUUCUGAUCAUCUGACAGACCUGUGACGUCCACUGUUUCUGAUCAUCUGACAGACAUGUGACGUCCACUGUUUCUGGUCAUCUGACGGACCUGUGGGGCAGUGAAGACUGAUAUCCAGACAUCAUUACCAGAAUUUUGACAAACAUUUAUAUAGGGUAUUGUUUCAGUAUUUACAGCAAUAAGGAUCUUACUAGCAAUAUGGACCUUCUAUUUCCAGCAAUAACAAUCUACAUAGUAAACCUAGCAAUAAGAGCUCAAUAUGAACAGCAUGAGAAAACUAUCUUGGCCCAGACAGUGAAGAUGAAAACCCCCAAAUAGAUAGCAUAUGAGAGUGUUCUACAGCAAACAAACGGAUUUAGCAGUAUAAUUUAUUAAUAUACCGUCAUUUAGCAGUAUAAUUUAUUAAUAUACCGUCAUUUAGCAGUAUAAUUUAUUAAUAUACUGUAAUUUAGCAGUAUAAUUUAUUAAUAUACCGUCAUUUAGCAGUAUAAUUUAUAAAUAUACCGUCAUUUAGCAGUAUAAUUUAUUAAUAUACUGUAAUUUAGCAGUAUAAUUUAUUAAUAUACCGUCAUUUAGCAGUAUAAUUUAUUAAUAUACCGUCAUUUAGCAGUAUAAUGUAUUACUAUACCGUAAUUUAGCAGUAUAAUUUAUUAAUAUACCGUCAUUUAGCAGUAUAAUUUAUUAAUAUACCGUCAUUUAGCAGUAUAAUGUAUUACUAUACCGUAAUUUUGCAGUAUAAUUUAUUAAUAUACCGUAAUUUAGCAGUAUCAUUUAUUAAUAUACCGUCAUUUAAAAAGUGGUAUUACACACACCCAGUGGUGUAAUAUAGUGAGCUACAAAAGUAUUGAGAAAGUUACAGACGCACAAAUAUCAUACCUCCAAGACAUGCUAACCUUUCACCAUUACAA